GAUUAAUCAUUGUUAGAUAAUUUGAUUUUUGUUAUUUUAAAAAAAAUCUUUAUAAUUUUAAAAGUUAGCAUCGACAAAUAUUUAAAUAAUUAACAUAGUAUUACAACAUUAAAUUAUAUCUAUUUAUUUAAUAUUAUCUAUAAAUCCAAUGGAUCAUCAAUUGUUUAAAUCCAAUUAUUGAUAGUCGAAUAAAAAUAUCUGGUAGUCCCAAAAUUUAAAUGAUAAUAUUAGAGAUUAAAUAUAAAAUAACUUUCUAGUAAUAGGUCCAUAAGUCAUUUUUAAAAAAAAAUCACACAUGAAUCAAGGUUUUGAUUUCUUUGUUAAUAUAUAAGAUGGAUGACCAAGUAAAGAACCGAUAUAAUUCCAUGUUUGCGAGAAUUUGUUUCCCGGCUUGGACCAACAAAACAAAUCUUCAACAAGAUAUGCUAUUUUACAAAAUACAUUAUCCUUUGCAAAAUAAGAUACAUUAUCCUUCAAUAUAUAUUAAUAUAUAUGUUCUCAUUAUUUAUCCCACGUUUUAUUCAGUUAUUUAUUUAGCUAUUCUUUUAGCACAUCAUGCAUAUUAAAAAUAUUUUUAGUCUGUACAUAUAACCGUUGGAGUUGUUUUAGUGGGAACCCCAAAAAUAAUUCAUUCCACUCAAUUAUAUUCCACUAAAUCACUUUCAGCUGUAACCCCAUUUCUUUUAUAUGUAAUGGUGCCUCUGGCCCAAACUUUCACUUACUUUAAAAAAUUUCCAGAUCAGCAACUUGUAGGUUUUAGAUACCAUUGGUAUUGCUAAAAAAAAAAAAUACCAUUGGUCAUUUCAUGAAUUCAUAAAGAGCAGUUUUCUUCAUACGUAAUUUCAUAUUCAAAUUAGUGGUGGAUAUAUAAAAAAAAAUAUCCAAAUUUUAAGAGGUAUUUGUGAUCUGAUAUGUGUGGUCCGAAUAAUCAUUUAUUCGAUCCGAUCUACAAUUAUCCAGAUAUUUAGUGUUUAGAUAUUCAAUUUUUUUAUAUAGUUAAUCGCAUAUCUAAUUUGAUCCGCACAAAUAAAAUUUAUUUAUUUUUGAAAAAGAAGUAAAAAAGUAAAAUCAAAGAUAAUAUAAAAUAAGAAUAUUUUAUUACAAAAUAAAUAAUUAUAUAUACUAUUAAGGAAAAAUC